AUUGAACGCUGGCGGCAGGCCUAACACAUGCAAGUCGAGCGAGCGGCGGACGGGUGAGUAAUGUCUGGGAAACUGCCUGAUGGAGGGGGAUAACUAAUGGAAACGGUAGCUAAUACCGCAUACCAUCAGAUGUGCCCAGAUGGGAUUAGCUGGUAGGUGGGGAAACGGCUCACCUAGGCGACGAUCCCUAGCUGGUCUGAGAGGAUGACCAGCCACACUGGAACGGAGACACGGUCCAGACUCCUACGGGGGGCAGCAGUGGGGAAUAUUGCACAAUGGGCGCAAGCCUGAUGCAGCCAUGCCGCGUGUCUGAAGAAGGCCUUCGGGUUGUAAAGUACUUUCAGCGGGGAGGCUUUACCCGCAGAAGAAGCACCGGCUAACUCCGUGCCAGCAGCCGCGGUAAUAC
rnacentral:rRNA from 1 species